rnacentral:lncRNA from 1 species
CGGCGGAGAGGCGGAUAGCGGCGGAGAGGCGGACAGCGGCGGCGCGGCGGAGAGACGGACAGCGGCGGAGAGGCGGACAGCGGCGGAGAGGCGGACAGCGGCGGCGCGGCGGAGAGACGGACAGCGGCGGAGAGGCGGACAGCGGCGGCGCGGCGGAGAGACGGAUAGCGGCGGAGAGGCGGACAGCGGCGGCGCGGCGGAGAGGCGGACAGCGGCGGAGAGGUGGACAGCGGCGGAGAGGCGGACAGCGGCGGCGCGGCGGAGAGACGGACAGCGGCGGAGAGGCGGACAGCGGCGGCGCGGCGGAGAGGCGGACAGCGGCGGCGCGGCGGAGAGACGGACAGCGGCGGAGAGGCAGACAGCGGCGGCGAGGCGCGCAGCGGCGGCGCAGGCGCGGAGAGGCGCUGGCGCCGGCUCUGGCGCGGAGAGGUGAAACGGAACCUACUGGAAUGAAGCUGGCCUCCCAUGGAAUGAAGCUGGCCUCCCGUCUCCUUGAUUUGAAGCAGCUUCUCCACGUUGGUUAUUAUGCCAUUUUUCUAAAUCUAACAUUUUAAAAUUUGUGCCUUUUCUUUCUCUUUUGCUUGACUUCUCAGAGGUUUUUUUAACGGUCUUUUCAAAGAAGUGGUUUUGGGUUUUAUUUAUCAAGUCUACUUUUAUUAUGGCUGUUUUAAAAUUAAAUACAUUUAUUUCUUGUUUCCCUUAAAAAAGCUUCUUGUAUGUUUACUUAGUUUAUAUAAUUUUAUAUGUCUUCUGUUGAAGCAUAUUAACAAACACUUCCAGCUAUAACGUUUCCCC